rnacentral:rRNA from 1 species
UGGAGCAUGUGGUUUAAUUCGAAGCAACGCGAGAACCUUACCAGGUCUUGACAUCCCGAUGCUAUUUCUAGAGAUAGAAGUUACUUGGUACAUCGGUGACAGGUGGUGCAUGGUUGUCGUCAGCUCGUGUCGUGAGAUGUUGGGUUAAGUCCCGCAACGAGCGCAACCCCUAUUGUUAGUUGCCAUCAUUCAGUUGGGCACUCUAGCGAGACUGCCGGUAAUAAACCGGAGGAAGGUGGGAUGACGUCAAAUCAUCAUGCCCCUUAUGACCUGGGCUACACACGUGCUACAAUGGUUGGUACAACGAGUUGCGAGUCGGUGACGGCGAGCUAAUCUCUUAAAGCCAAUCUCAGUUCGGAUUGUAGGCUGCAACUCGCCUACAUGAAGUCGGAAUCGCUAGUAAUCGCAGGUCAGCAUACUGCGGUGAAUACGUUCCCGGGCCUU